UUGUACUACGAUGCAGUAAAU
ensembl:piRNA 21ur-545 ncRNA